rnacentral:lncRNA from 1 species
UUCAAUUUUAACAAAUUAUAUCGCGCGGAGAAAUAUAAGUUGUUGAUUUUAAUAAGAUCGAGUGAUGAGUGAGUUUUGAAAAGACGGAGUCGAAGUCGAGCAAGAUAUAUCGCACACUCACACUAACGGAUUUUGAACCAAGUAGCUUGUUCGGAUAACACCCCGCGAUAGCGAGAAGGCCCAAACGGGGUUUACCACCGAAACAAGUAAUAUCACACUCGGCACACACGUUUGGAAAAUAAACACGUAAUACCACGUAUCUUAUCUUAAUGAUAUCCCCACCGAGCACAGGGCUGAAAAAUGGGUUUCUCACUAAAACAAGAAGGGUAUGGGAGUGAUGGGAAUGGGAGCACAA